UGUGGCAGCCAAGCGUUCAU
rnacentral:snRNA from 1 species